AGAAAAGCUACAAAUAGGUGUGUUGCUUGCACUGAUACUCAGAGGAGCCAGAAACAAGCAACAGAAAGAAGACUAUUGAAAGUUUUGAAGUAAUUCUUUCCAAAAAGCUACCUCUGAGAAGUUCUACCUGUGAGGCCAUGAAGCUUUGAGGAAGACAUUAGCUACAAGGUGGUGUGUGAUCACUCUGCCCUGCCUUCAGCAAGAUCCUGUUGUUGGACUCAGGACAAAAUAAUCCUAAGUAUGACACUUGGACAUGCUGAGUACUUUGAACUGAAUGUCUUUGUGUGAGAGAG